rnacentral:lncRNA from 1 species
AUGUGAUCACUGCUUAAAGGAUGGUGUAUCAGGAUACAGUGAAGAAAUUCAUGGUUGCAGCUAAAUUACGCUCAGUUAAGAGGGGAUGUGUACAUUUAAGACUGAACUCUCUUCCAGGCUCUGAGGAAAAGUUUGGUCUUAUCCCAAAACAGCUUCAUUCUAGUCAAAACCAGUGGUGAGUGAGAGCAAAGAAGCAUUGCUAAGCACAGUUUGCACACGGGUAACAGCAAAACAAAGAAAUGAACUUGCCUGAGAUGACACAGGAAGGCAGAGACAGAGCUGACAUUAUGGUGACAGCUGCCUUACCAGCAAUCUGAAAUGGAUGGAAUGCAAGUGUCAAGGACAUCAUGGACACAAAAGUCAGCAAAACUGAAGAGAUUUCACUUCCUCCAGAGUAUUUACUGAUUUGUCAGCUAUCUUCAUCAGACCCAGAAAUGCAGCUGUGCUACCCUCCCUCUGAGAAGGAAAUAAGGUCCUGAUCCACCCUCAGAAUCUGAAGACAGCUGCCCUACCAUCAAUGCCCAGAGGUUACAAAGCAGAAGCAGAAAUGUGUGGACCAAAAACCUCAGGGACAGACCACCAAGGAAAGUGCAGGUUCAGCCCCCAUCCUUGUCCCCUCUUGAAAUAAAAGUUGUAAGAUCUUGUACAGCAUCAGAGUAAUGUUGAAUAAAAUGUCGUGGCAAAUAUUUCUGCUCUCCAAUAAAAUUAAGCUUAAAAACUGUCAUAACUUUCUUGUGAAGACAUUGAGUAUUUCAGUAAGACAACAUUUGUUAAAGGUCAAACCAUUUUGUCUGCCAUUUAAAAAAAAAGUCUUUUGGUUCUGACUGACACUUGCCCCAUUAUUUACCUGUAGUGUUGUGGGGGUCUUUCACUGUUUUCUUUGUUUGUUUAAUAUUCCUCAAAUUAACCCUGAUUAAGUAUUUCAAAACUUCUUAUUUAAUAGGAUAAGAAACCUCCCACCAAAAAAGAAAUCAUUUCAGGUCAAUGUGAAUGAGAUAUUUUUUCAGUCAGUCAACUGAAAAAUCAAUUAUUCCAACAGGCACUGCUGUGAGGAGCUCAAGGUCAAUGUGAGACCAAGAGGCAAAUUGGGAAAGAAGAGCUGACUGAUCCUGCCGUAACACUUUUCAAUAUAGUGCCACUCAUCUUUUUCCAACAUGUUCGCUAUUAAGAUUUCCAGCUGUCACAUCUCUUGCUAAGGCUUAUGGAAAGAAGGAAAUAAAAAAAUAACUAAAACUACUCAAGGAAGAAGAAAGCAGUUCCACUUUUGCAGCUGGAAACUGAGAAAGAUGUAAAUAUAUUUUUAUAAUUUGGUUGAAGUAGAAUACAUUUAGAGAAACCAUCCUAUUAAUGCCCCCUCCAAACCCAGGUAGAGCUGGCAGGGGAGGAGGGACAAUAAAAUACUUUUCCUAGAAUCCAGAUACAAAUGCUAUGACCAGAGAAGUCCCAGUUGUUAUUUUCUGUGAUUCUUAAAAUACCAAUUCAUUUCUCAUUUCAGUACCUUUAUUUACAAUCUCUGCUUACUCUGAAAUCAAUAUUUUAUUCUCUGAAUGCUACAUUUUUAUCCAUACUUAAAUACUUCUUCAGAUGCUUAACUUUCCCCUGCUUCUUUUUUUUUUUUUUUUAUCUUUUUUACUAUGUCUG